AUUGAACGCUGGCGGCAGGCCUAACACAUGCAAGUCGAACGAGUGGCGGACGGGUGAGUAAUUUCUGGGAAACUGCCCGAUGGAGGGGGAUAACUACUGGAAACGGUAGCUAAUACCGCAUACCAUCGGAUGUGCCCAGAUGGGAUUAGCUAGUCGUUGGGGUAACGGCUCACCUAGGCGACGAUCCCUAGCUGGUCUGAGGGGAUGACCAGCCAAACGGGAACGUAGAAACGGUCCAGACGCCGACGGGAGGCGUCAGUGGGGAAUAUUGCAAAAUGAGCGCAAGCCUGAUGCGGCCAUGCCGCGUGUAUGAAGAAGGCCUUCGGGUUGUAAAGUACUUUCAGCGAGGAGGCGUUACUCGCAGAAGAAGCACCGGCUAACUCCGUGCCAGCAGCCGCGGUAAUAC
rnacentral:rRNA from 1 species